rnacentral:rRNA from 1 species
AAGUUUGAUCCUGGCUCAGGAUGAACGCUAGCGGCAGGCUUAACACAUGCAAGUCGAGGGGCAGCAGGGAUGUAGCAAUACAUUUGCUGGCGACCGGCGCACGGGUGCAUAACGCGUAUGCAACCUACCUUAUACAGGGAGAUAACCUUUCGAAAGAGAGACUAAAAUCCCAUAGCAUUAAUUAGAGGCAUCUUUAGUUAAUUAAAUCUUCGGAGGUAUAAGAUGGGCAUGCGUAGCAUUAGUUAGAUGGAGAGGUAACGGCUCACCAUGACUACGAUGCUUAGGGGUCCUGAGAGGGAAGUCCCCCACACUGGUACUGAGACACGGACCAGACUCCUACGGGAGGCAGCAGUGAGGAAUAUUGGUCAAUGGUCGGAAGACUGAACCAGCCAUGCCGCGUGCAGGAAGAAUGUUUUAUGGAUUGUAAACUGCUUUUGUAUGGGAGUAAUAAGGACUUUGCGAAGUUUGAUGCAAGUACCAUACGAAUAAGGAUCGGCUAACUCCGUGCCAGCAGCCGCGGUAAUACGGAGGAUUCGAGCGUUAUCCGGAUUUAUUGGGUUUAAAGGGUGCGUAGGCGGCGUUAUAAGUCAAUGGUGAAAGACUUGAGCUUAACUCAGCGAGCCGUUGAUACUGUAGAGCUAGAACAUAGAUGGAGUAGCGGAAUGAAUCAUGUACCGUGACAUGCAUAAUAUGAUUCAAACACCGAUCGCGAAGGCAGCUUACUAAACUAUAUUGACGCUGAGGACGAAAGCGUGGGGAUCGAAC